rnacentral:rRNA from 1 species
UACAGAGGGUGCGAGCGUUGUCCGGAAUCACUGGGCGUAAAGGGAGCGUAGGCGGUCUUAUAAGUCAGGUGUGAAAAAUCUGGGCUCAACCCAGUGGAGCACCUGAUACUGCGGUGACUCGAGUCCGGUAGGGGCAUGCGGAACUGUAGGUGGAGCGGUGAAAUGCGUAGAUAUCGCCUGGAACGCCGACGGUGAAAACAGCUCGCUGGGGGUCUUCUGACGCUGAGACACGAAAGCCAGGGGAGCGAACGGG